GACGAACGCUGGCGGCGUGCUUAACACAUGCAAGUCGAACGGAAAGGCCUGCUUUCCCUUGUGGAUUGCGGGUACUCGAGUGGCGAACGGGUGAGUAACACGUGAGUGAUCUGCCCCCAACUUGGGUAUAAGCCUGGGAAACUGGGUCUAAUUCCCGAUAGGACUGCAGGGUGGUGCCUGUGGUGGAAAACGAUUUUCUAGUGGUUGGGGAUGAGCUCGCGGCCUAUCAGCUUGUUGGUGGGGUAAUGGCCCACCAAGGCGGCGACGGGUAGCCGGCCUGAGAGGGUGGACGGCCACAUUGGGACUGAGAUACGGCCCAGACUCCUACGGGAGGCAGCAGUGGGGAAUAUUACACAAUGGGCGGAAGCCUGAUGCAGCGACGCCGCGUGGGGGAUGACGGCCUUCGGGUUGUAAACUCCUUUCGACCGCGAGGAAGCCACCUGGUUGGAAGGGUGGUGACGGUAGUGGUAGAAGAAGCACCGGCUAACUACGUG
rnacentral:rRNA from 1 species